rnacentral:rRNA from 1 species
CAAUUAUUAGAGGCACUGCCUGCCCAGUGACAUGCGUUUAACGGCCGCGGUAUCCUGACCGUGCAAAGGUAGCAUAAUCAUUUGUUCCUUAAUUAGGGACUAGUAUGAAAGGCUUAACGAGGGUUUUACUGUCUCUUGUUUCCAAUCAGUGAAAUUGACCUCCCCGUGAAGAGGCGGGGAUAAACAUAUAAGACGAGAAGACCCUGUGGAGCUUAAAUUGCCAGCCCAAUUACAACCCACAAACCUACCAUGGCCAACAUAUAGUAAACUGGGCUAGAAAUUUUGGUUGGGGCGACCUCGGAGAAAAAAAAAUCCUCCGAAUGAUUCAUGACCAGACCUAACAAGUCAAGUUAAUAUAUAUAUAUAUAUAUAUAUAUCAUAAAUUGAUCCAAGAAAUUGAUCAACGGAACAAGUUACCCCAGGGAUAACAGCGCAAUCCUAUUUUAGAGUCCAUAUCGACAAUAGGGUUUACGACCUCGAUGUUGGAUCAGGACAUCCAAAUGGCGCAACAGCUAUUAUUGGUUCGUUUGUUCAACGAUUAAAGUCCUACGUGAUCUGAGUUCAGACCGGAGCAAUCCAGGUCGGUUUCUAUCUAUACACUUACUCCUCCCAGUACGAAAGGACCAGAGAAGUAAGGCCAACUUAAACUAAGAGCCUUAAGAUAAAAUAGAUGAAAUCAUCUAAAUCUAGUUAACUCAACAAAGAUAGCCCUAUACAAGGGU